GACGAACGCUGGCGGCGUGCUUAACACAUGCAAGUCGAACGGAAAGGCCCUGCUUUUGUGGGGUGCUCGAGUGGCGAACGGGUGAGUAACACGUGAGUAACCUGCCCUUGACUUUGGGAUAACUUCAGGAAACUGGGGCUAAUACCGGAUAGGAGCUCCUGCUGCAUGGUGGGGGUUGGAAAGUUUCGGCGGUUGGGGAUGGACUCGCGGCUUAUCAGCUUGUUGGUGGGGUAGUGGCUUACCAAGGCUUUGACGGGUAGCCGGCCUGGGAGGGUGACCGGCCACAUGGGUACUGAGAGACGGCCCAGACGCCUACGGGAGGCAGCAGUGGGGAAUAUGGCACAAUGGGCGGAAGCCUGAUGCAGCAACGCCGCGUGCGGGAUGACGGCCUUCGGGUUGUAAACCGCUUUCGCCUGUGACGAAGCGUGAGUGACGGUAAUGGGUAAAGAAGCACCGGCUAACUACGUG
rnacentral:rRNA from 1 species